rnacentral:rRNA from 1 species
UACAGAGGGGGCGAGCGUUGUUCGGAAUUACUGGGCGUAAAGGGCGCGUAGGCGGCCCGCUAAGUCGAACGUGAAAUCCCCAGGCUUAACCUGGGAACUGCGUCCGAUACUGGCAGGCUUGAAUCCGGGAGAGGGAUGUGGAAUUCCAGGUGUAGCGGUGAAAUGCGUAGAUAUCUGGAGGAACACCGAUGGCGAAGGCAGCCCCCUGGGCCAACACUGACGCUCAGGCACGAAAGCGUGGGGAGCAAACAGG